GAUUAAGAACGUAGUGAAAUGCGAUAAGUAGUGUGAAUUGCAGAAUUCAGUGAAUCAUCGAAUCUUUGAACGCACAUUGCGCCCCUUGGUAUCCCGAGGGGCAUGCCUGUUCGAGCGUCAUUUCACCACUCAAGCCUGGCUUGGUGUUGGGCGACGUCCUCUUUGGGGACGCGCCUCGAAACGCUCGGCGGCGUGGCACCGGCUUUAAGCGUAGCAGAAUCUUUCGCUUUGGAAGUCGGGGCCCCGUCUGCCGGAAGACCUGCUCGCAAGGUUGACCUCGGAUCAGGCAGGGAUACCCGCUGAACUUAAGCAUAUCAAUAAGCGGAGGA
rnacentral:misc_RNA from 1 species